rnacentral:lncRNA from 1 species
GUUUAAUGCUUCACCUCGUUCACCUUUCACACCUUUCAGCCCAUUCAGUCCUGGGCGGCCUGGGCGUCCUGGGAAACCAAGUUCUCCUUUAGGUCCAGCAGGUCCUAUUGGUCCCAUUGGUCCCAUUGGUCCUACCACUCCAGCUUCACCCUUCUGCCCUUUUCUUCCUAACAAUUCAGUUAAAGAUCCAUCAGCAGCAAUGACAGCUCCAGAUUCUCCUUUUUC